rnacentral:misc_RNA from 1 species
GUGAAUCAUCAAACUUUUGAACGCAAAUCGCACUCUCCGGUUUUCCGGGAGAGUAUGCCUGUUUGCGGUUCAGCCUAAAAAAAAUCGACAUUGUUGCUGUUUUAGGGUACCUUUCUCCGGAGAUGGGUUAUCUUAAAUCUCGUUUUAAUCGACUUAAAAAUUUUUUUUACGAUUCUAAGAAUGUUUCUAAGAUUUUUCUUUUCCUUUUAAGGUAUCGAAUUCCUUAUUAUACUUGGCGUUAA